CACGUACUCCCUCCAUCCGAAAAUACUUUCAUUAAAAUGAAUAAAAAAAAGAUGUAUCUAAAACUAAAAUGCAUCUACACACAUUUCCUUUUAUUAAUUUUGAUGACAAGUAUUUCCGGACGGAGGAAGUAGCAU
rfam:Triticum aestivum genome assembly, contig: Triticum_aestivum_CS42_TGACv1_scaffold_406777_5BL